ACUGGAAUAGUGAUGAAAUCACCUUUUGCCGUUUACCCGUCAGACUUUAGACUGGUGAGAUGGUGACGACUGAAUUUCCAGC
rnacentral:snoRNA from 1 species